CUGGGUAGGGACACCUUCCUCCUCAACAAAUCUCCCUUUCCAAGCGCGCAUCUACCGGUGUCGGUCAGCGGCCACAGACCACUCAGAUCUGAACCUGAACUGUGAGCAAGGGUCCUGGGUCAAGCUUAAACUUUCCUACCUACCAUGUUUCCAGAAACAGUCCCUUGGGGUCAACAGCAAACAUUUUGAUGUGCACUCUAAAGAGACGGUUGCACAACUGGGAAACAGGAGGAUUCCGGUUUAACAGGGAUACUAAAAUCACCUAUGAGGGCUCGCCCCUCAAGACCUAAUCACCUUCUAAAGAUCCUACAUCCUAAUGCGAGACCCGUGGGUUUGAGGAUCUCAACAAAUGAAUUUUGGCAGAAUCCAAAAGCUUAAUUGGAAGAUUCCAGAAUGAAACAAUGCUACACAAGGAAAAGAACCUUCCAGUCAUUUUCUUGGGGAAAAAAAUUUAAAUCAAAAUACCACAAGUAUAUCACAAAAUUAAACCAUCGAAUCAAGUGGAAGGGCUCAUUCCCAGACUACCCCUCUGCUGCGGUGGUCUUCCAGAGGCAAGUAUGUUUAACUCUUUCAGCUGUUUCUGCUGGUGGUUAUCAUUGUCUCUAAAAAUAUGUUUAUAUCAUCAGUUCUUGAUGCAUCUGUUUUAGACAUUGUCUAUUAAUUACAACUCAGAUAAAUGAAGAUUUAUCUCACGGGACAAGUAUGUAGAGAUAUUGGGGAGUUCUUUUCCAUUCCAUAGCUACCUUUAUUUGCUCCUUGCAGAGGUCUAGGCUGUAUGCAUAAUAAGGUAGGCCUUCCAUAUAUGGGUGGGGCCUGGCUUUACUAUGCAUGUGCUGACAGUUACGUACAUAACAUGAAUAUUCCCUCUGCCUCCUGGUCUUGUUUUGUUGGUUGACCUUAGUAGGAGACUUUAAUGGUGGAGACUUUUUCAAAGUCUGGUGACUAGUGGGAGCACAUAUGAGAAUAAUAUUGUUACCGCUUUUGACGGGUGGCAAGUCCUUGCUUCCCCAAUGUUGUAGAAUAACACCAGAGAAGCACACCGAGGCAAGG